rnacentral:rRNA from 1 species
UACGUAGGGUGCGAGCGUUUAAUCGGAAUUACUGGGCGUAAAGCGUGCGCAGGCGGUUCGUUGUGUCGGCGGUAAAAGCCCCGGGCUUAACCUGGGAAUGGCCGUUGAAACUGGCGAACUGGAGUGUGGCAGAGGGGGUGGAAUUCCGCGUGUAGCAGUGAAAUGCGUAGAGAUGCGGAGGAACACCGAUGGCGAAGGCAGCCCCCUGGGCUAACACUGACGCUCAGGCACGAAAGCGUGGGGAGCAAACAGG